rnacentral:rRNA from 1 species
CCUACGGGGGGCAGCAGUGGGGAAUAUUGGACAAUGGGCGAAAGCCUGAUCCAGCCAUGCCGCGUGUGUGAAGAAGGCCUUCGGGUUGUAAAGCACUUUCAGUGGGGAAGAAAGCCUUGGGGCUAAUACCCUCGAGGAAGGACAUCACCCACAGAAGAAGCACCGGCUAACUCCGUGCCAGCAGCCGCGGUAAUACGGAGGGUGCGAGCGUUAAUCGGAAUUACUGGGCGUAAAGCGCGCGUAGGCGGUCUGAUAAGCCGGUUGUGAAAGCCCCGGGCUCAACCUGGGAACGGCAUCCGGAACUGUCAGGCUAGAGUGCAGGAGAGGAAGGUAGAAUUCCCGGUGUAGCGGUGAAAGGCGUAGAGAUCGGGAGGAAUACCAGUGGCGAAGGCGGCCUUCUGGACUGACACUGACGCUGAGGUGCGAAAGCGUGGGUAGCAAACAGGAUUAGAUACCCCGGUAGUC